AGAGUUUGAUCCUGGCUCAUGACGAACGCUGGCGGCGUGCCUAAUACAUGCAAGUAGAACGCUGAAGAGAGGAGCUUGCUCUUCUUGGAUGAGUUGCGAACGGGUGAGUAACGCGUAGGUAACCUGCCUUGUAGCGGGGGAUAACUAUUGGAAACGAUAGCUAAUACCGCAUAACAAUGGAUGACACAUGUCAUUUAUUUGAAAGGGGCAAUUGCUCCACUACAAGAUGGACCUGCGUUGUAUUAGCUAGUAGGUGAGGUGAUGGCUCACCUAGGCGACGAUACAUAGCCGACCUGAGAGGGUGAUCGGCCACACUGGGACUGAGACACGGCCCAGACUCCUACGGGAGGCAGCAGUAGGGAAUCUUCGGCAAUGGGGGCAACCCUGACCGAGCAACGCCGCGUGAGUGAAGAAGGUUUUCGGAUCGUAAAGCUCUGUUGUAAGUCAAGAACGGGUGUGAGAGUGGAAAGUUCACACUGUGACGGUAGCUUACCAGAAAGGGACGGCUAACUACGUGCCAGCAGCCGCGGUAAUACGUAGGUCCCGAGCGUUGUCCGGAUUUAUUGGGCGUAAAGCGAGCGCAGGCGGUUUGAUAAGUCUGAAGUUAAAGGCUGUGGCUCAACCAUAGUUCGCUUUGGAAACUGUAAAACUUGAGUGCAGAAGGGGAGAGUGGAAUUCCAUGUGUAGCGGUGAAAUGCGUAGAUAUAUGGAGGAACACCGGUGGCGAAAGCGGCUCUCUGGUCUGUAACUGACGCUGAGGCUCGAAAGCGUGGGGAGCGAACAGGAUUAGAUACCCUGGUAGUCCACGCCGUAAACGAUGAGUGCUAGGUGUUGGAUCCUUUCCGGGAUUCAGUGCCGCAGCUAACGCAUUAAGCACUCCGCCUGGGGAGUACGACCGCAAGGUUGAAACUCAAAGGAAUUGACGGGGGCCCGCACAAGCGGUGGAGCAUGUGGUUUAAUUCGAAGCAACGCGAAGAACCUUACCAGGUCUUGACAUCCCGAUGCUAUUUCUAGAGGUAGAAAGUUACUUCGGUACAUCGGUGACAGGUGGUGCAUGGUUGUCGUCAGCUCGUGUCGUGAGAUGUUGGGUUAAGUCCCGCAACGAGCGCAACCCUUAUUGUUAGUUGCCAUCAUUCAGUUGGGCACUCUAGCGAGACUGCCGGUAAUAAACCGGAGGAAGGUGGGGAUGACGUCAAAUCAUCAUGCCCCUUAUGACCUGGGCUACACACGUGCUACAAUGGUUGGUACAACGAGUUGCGAGUCGGUGACGGCGAGCUAAUCUCUUAAAGCCAAUCUCAGUUCGGAUUGUAGGCUGCAACUCGCCUACAUGAAGUCGGAAUCGCUAGUAAUCGCGGAUCAGCACGCCGCGGUGAAUACGUUCCCGGGCCUUGUACACACCGCCCGUCACACCACGAGAGUUUGUAACACCCGAAGUCGGUGAGGUAACCUUUUGGAGCCAGCCGCCUAAGGUGGGACAGAUGAUUGGGGUGAAGUCGUAACAAGGUA
rnacentral:rRNA from 1 species